rnacentral:rRNA from 1 species
AUCUACUGCCCAAAGCUAAGCAGGGUCGGGCAUGACCAGUACUUGGAUGGGGAGACCCCCUGGGGAUACCGGGUGCUGUAGGUA